AUUGAACGCUGGCGGCAUGCCUUACACAUGCAAGUCGAACGGCAGCACGGGGCAACCUGGUGGCGAGUGGCGAACGGGUGAGUAAUGCAUCGGAACGUACCUUUCAGUGGGGGAUAACGUAGCGAAAGUUACGCUAAUACCGCAUAUUCUGUGAGCAGGAAAGCAGGGGAUCGCAAGACCUUGCGCUGAUUGAGCGGCCGAUGUCAGCUUAGCUAGUUGGUGAGGUAAAGGCUCACCAAGGCGCCGAUCUGUAGCGGGUCUGAGAGGAUGAUCCGCCACACUGGAACUGAGAAACGGUCCAGACUCCUACGGGAGGCAGCAGUGGGGAAUUUUUGCCAAUGGGGGCAACCCUGAUCCAGCCAUGCCGCGUGAGUGAAGAAGGCCUUCGGGUUGUAAAGCUCUUUCGGCCGGGAAGAAAUCGCACGGGCUAAUACCCUGUGUGGAUGACGGUACCGGAAUAAGAAGCACCGGCUAACUACGUGCCAGCCGCCGCGGUAA
rnacentral:rRNA from 1 species